rnacentral:rRNA from 1 species
GGCGAAAGCCGGAUUAAUACCGCAUACGACCUAUGGGUGAAAGCGGGGGACCGCAAGGCCUCGCGCUAUUGGAGCGGCCGAUGUCAGAUUAGCUAGUUGGUGGGGUAAAGGCCUACCAAGGCGACGAUCUGUAGCUGGUCUGAGAGGACGACCAGCCACACUGGGACUGAGACACGGCCCAGACUCCUACGGGAGGCAGCAGUGGGGAAUUUUGGACAAUGGGGGAAACCCUGAUCCAGCCAUGCCGCGUGCGGGAAGAAGGCCUUCGGGUUGUAAACCGCUUUUGUCGGGGAAGAAACGGUCUGCGCUAAUACCGCGGGCUAAUGACGGUACCCGAAGAAUAAGCACCGGCUAACUACGUGCCAGCAGCCGCGGUAAUACGUAGGGUGCAAGCGUUAAUCGGAAUUACUGGGCGUAAAGCGUGCGCAGGCGGCUUUGCAAGACAGAUGUGAAAUCCCCGGGCUUAACCUGGGAACUGCAUUUGUGACUGCAUGGCUGGAG